rnacentral:rRNA from 1 species
AACGAACGCUGGCGGCAUGCCUAACACAUGCAAGUCGAACGAGACCUUCGGGUCUAGUGGCGCACGGGUGCGUAACGCGUGGGAACCUGCCCUUAGGUUCGGAAUAACUCCCCGAAAGGGGUGCUAAUACCGGAUAAUGUCUUCGGACCAAAGAUUUAUCGCCUUUGGAUGGGCCCGCGUUGGAUUAGCUAGUUGGUAGGGUAAAAGCCUACCAAGGCGACGAUCCAUAGCUGGUCUGAGAGGAUGAUCAGCCACACUGGGACUGAGACACGGCCCAGACUCCGACGGGAGGCAGCAGUGGGGAAUAUUGGACAAGGGGCGAAAGCCUGAUCCAGCAAUGCCGCGUGAGUGAUGAAGGCCGUAGGGUUGUAAAGCUCUUUUACCCGGGAUGAUAAUGACAGUACCGGGAGAAUAAGCUCCGGCUAACUCCGUG